AGAAGUGCCACAUUGACUGGCACCCUCCUCCCAUACUGUGCCUCACAGCUGGCAGGAGCUGUUUCCAAGUCUCGCUGUGGUGAAGGUCAUUAAGGGACCUUCUAAGAGAUUUUCCAUGCUGAGAAAGACAUCACAAGAGACAAGGGGCAAGGCUUAUUUGUUAAAAGAAGGUUGACUAAGGAAACCUGGCGGAAAGAUAAUAGUUUGACAGAAGUAGCAAGAAGGGAGGGGGAGGGCUGGGGAUUUAGCUCAGGGGUUCCAGCUGCCUGCCCGGUAAGUGAGGACCCGCGUUGAGUUCGAUCCCUGGUACCAAAAAAAAAAAAAAAAGAAGAGAGGGAGAAUAAGUGAUGGGGAGUGCUGGAGUUACCUGCAAAAGAAGAGCAAGGCUUGAGAAUGGAUGUCUGGAGACCAACGAUUCUGUUUCUGUAAAGGCUCUGGCUCAUGCUUGUGAAUUCCAGUUUAUCCUCACUCUACUUUGCAACUGCCUGCCCUUGGACUUCAAGCACCAGCAUUAGAUGUGAAGACAACAGCCUUCUAGAAACUGCUUAACCAGCUGUCUUUGUUUUGUAUGGUGAUGCAGGACUGUAAAAAUGACUGUGUAAGCUGAAACCAUGCAAAGCAAUCUUAGCAAUCAACGAGAAAAUGGAUGGUUGCUUUGCAACCUUUUAGUUGUUGUUAUGGCUUGUAUUUAGAUGUCCCCCCAAAGCUUCAUGAGGUCAUAGGUGGAGCUUUUUGGAGGUGGCUGGAUCUAGGGUGUAUAAAUGUGAAUUAAGGGUGUGAUACUGGGAUUAAGGGUGUGUGGCACUGGAUUAGACCACUAAUUGGUUUAUCAUAGUUCUGGGUGUGAGUAAUGCGAAGCCUCACCCUGGAUGUUGGUGGCUCCACCCAAAAGGCAGGUAGCCUGGAUGAGAUAAAAGGGUAGGGGAGUCUUGCUGCUUCUUUUGCUGCUUUGCUGCUGCUACUGCUGCUUACCACUUGCUCUGCUGUGGACCGUUUCUCCUCUGUGAUGCUCCUCUGCUAUACUGCCCUGCUUUGGAGCCAGGUGACUGUGAGCUAUAAUAAACCUUUCCUCUUUCAACUUGUGGGUGUUGGGUAUUUUGUCCCAGCAAUGACAGUUGUAAAUAUAUAGGAAAAUGAAAAACAAAACAGUGUAAAGCUAAUAAUUAUUUAAUACACUAUAAUUUUAAAAUGAAGAAAUAUUGCCAGAGUGUGGUGACACAUGCCUGUAAUCUCAAUAUUCAGGCGGCUGAGGCAGGAGGAUCACCACAAGUUUGAGGCCAACCUAGGGUACCUAGUGAGUUCAAGGCCAGCCUGAACUACAUAGUGAGACCCUGUCUAAAAAGAAAGAAAGAAAGAAAGAAAGAAAGAAAGAAAGAAAGAAAGAAAGAAGGAAAAAGUAACAUUGAAAUUUAAAAUGUUUGGGCCAGGGAUUUAGCUCAGUGGUUUCACUGCCUGCUGCGCAAACGCAAGGACCCGAGUUCGAUCCCCGGUACCAAAAAAAAAAAAUUUAAAAUGUUUUAUUUCUUUAAAACUUUUAAAGAAUAGUGUAGGGCUGAGAGUGUAACUCAGUGGUAGAGUGCUUGCCUAGCUUGCCCAAGGCCCUGGGUUUAAUCCCCAGCACCACAAAAACAGAAAGAAUGAAAGAAAGAAAGGAAGAAAGGAAGGAAGGAAAGGGGGAAAGAAGGAAGGGAGAGUAGUGUUGAACUUGUGACCCCUCUGCCUCAGUCUCCCAAGAACUGGUAACACAGGCAUGUGUCACCCAGCUAAGCAGUGUCAACUCUUGCUGCCCCUAUCUUACCAGGUAAUUCAUGAUACAGAGCAAGCAAGAUUUCUACUAGUUGGUGAACUGUCAUACUAUUUUUUAUGUUAUUUUGUGCUUUUUGCAAUGCUAGGGAUUGAAGUAGGGGUUCAUGAAUACAGUGCUAGAGAGGUUAAUCCCCAGCCCUUGGUCUUUGGACUAGGAAAUAUGGGCCAGCUGCUUUCUAUUAGGAAAUAGAAGAGCCCUGGACCAGCUGCUAAGUUCACAAGGCAAGCAGAAGGAGGCUCAUCAUCUGGGAUAUAGAAGAAAGUCUGGAGGCCCAGCCACAUAUGAGGCUGGUAGAUGGAAAAAAGUGGGUGCUGAGAUGCUUUGGAGAUAUCAGGAUAAGAAAAGAGGUGUACUGGGGGAAUAUAGCUUAGUAGUAGACCACUUGCCUAACAUGUGCAAGACCUGGGUUCAAUCCUCAGUAUAGCAAAAAAAAAAAAAAAGUAUGGGUAUUGGGAUGUCUUUCUUGUUCAGAAAACAAUGCUCCAUGCAUAGUCCUAAUGACAUCUGAGAAAAAUGCCAUAUGAGCUAAACAUUCAAUCAGUUUGGUGGGAAAUGAGGCCAUGACUUAGACAGGUACUGUCUAUGAGAGGAGGAGAUGGUGGAGAUGAAGUUGAAUUUUUAAGCUUCCACUGGGCGCUUCAGGCCUAACAUCUUACUUCCUGGUCGCUAGUGACUAUUAGAGGAGAAAUGAAGUACAGAGUAUGAAGUAGCCUUGAGACUAUCAGGAAUUUCAUCUGUCUGACUUUUGUUGUUUUUUUCGUUGUUGUUUGAGAGAGGAUCUCACUACACAGCCCAGGCCUCGAACUCACCAUGGAUCCCAGACUGAGCUUGAACUCAUGGCCAUCCUCCUGCCUCAGUCUCCUGAGUGCUGGGAUUAUAGGUAUACACCAGAACACCCCACUCUGAUUUUUACAUAUUUGAAUAUUUUAUAUAGUCAAAAGAAUUCACAUUAUAUAUCUGUCAAUUAUAUGCGAAGUAAAAGAAACAUCUGGGAACCUACCACCCACAUUAACAACCAGAACACUACCACUGCUCUUGUCUCUUGCCUUCCCUGGUGAUGACUACAAUUCUGGUAGAAUUGAUUUUUUUGGUACCGGGGAUUGAACUCGGGUCCUUGCGCUUGUGCAGCAGGCAGCAAAACCACUGAACUAAAUCCCCAGCCCAGAGAUGACUACAAUUCUGAAUUUGUUCCACAAUCUUUUGCUCCUUUUCCUCUUCUUUUUCUGGGCCUGGCAUAUGGUAGGCAAGUGCUCUACCAUUGAGCUUUAUCCCCAGCCCUUUUUAUUUUUUGAGACAGGAUCUUGCUAAAUUGCCCAGGCUGGCCUUGAAUUUGGGAUCCUGCUGCUUCAGUUUCCAGAGUAACUGGGAUUCAGGGAUUGAACUCGGGACCUUGCGCUUGCAAGGCAGGCACCGGAACCACUGAGCUAAAUCCUUGGCCCCAGACAACAAUUCUGACAGUGGAGCUGCCAAGUGAUUGAAGAGGGGAAAGCAAGUUGCUCCAGAACCUGGGAAGAAGCAAAAGGCUGGUGGGACUUUGAGAGCUCCGUUGUCUCCUGGGCACAGCAGGAGCAGCAGCAGUGAAAACAACAUGUUCCUGAGUGGGGAAGCAAGGUACUUCAUGCACAGGGUUUGUAAGGAAGGAGAUAACUGUCGUUACUCGCAGGACACCUCUCGGACAAUCCCUACGGUAUACUAUGCAAUUAUUUCCAGCAAGAGUACUGCGUGUAUGGAGAUGGCUACAGAUAUGAGCACCGCAAGCCAUUGAAACAGGAAGAAGCAGUAGCUAUAGAUCUAACUGCAAAAGCACCCCUUGCCGCUGCCUCGAGUUCCUCCUCCGUCGCUGAAGCUCUCAGGGAGAUGAAUACAGGCGAGGCUGAGUCCAGAAAUGCAAAUUCCCCGCCCUAGGUACAGUACAGGGUCAGAGGACUGGGUGAAUGCCAUUGAGUUCUGCCCAGCCAGCCCUACUGUGACCACGCCGCCCCUGCCUGCACAAAGGUCCUGGUGCAGGGAUCAGUGCCCAAGGCAGAGUCUGAGGAGCUGGCUACGUGGAGACCGAGAAGCAGCUCUGCCCCUAAGCGCUGUGGGAGAACUGCGUGUGGUGACACCUGGGACAUGUGCGGGCUGCAGGUCCAGCUCCUGGUGGAUACAGUCCAGAGGUCCCAGCAAAUAAAAUCUUGCAUCGAGGCCCACGAGAAGGACAUGGAGCUGUCCUUUUCGGUGCAGUGCAGCAAGGACAUGGUGUGUGGCAUCUGCAUGGGGUACGAGAAAGCCAACCCCAGUGAGCGCCGCUUCGGCAUCCUCUCCAGCUGAGACCAUACCUGGUGUCUCAAGUGUAUUCGAAAGUGGAGGAGUGCUAAGCAUUUUGAGAACAAGAUCAUAAAGUUCUGGGCUGAAUGCCAGAUCACAUCUACAUUUGUCAUUCCAAGUGAGUGCUGGGUGGAGGAGAAAGAGAAGCAGAAACUCAUUCAGAAAUACAAGGAGGCAAUGAGCAAAGGCAUGCAGGUAUUUUGAUGAAGGCCAUGGGAGCUGCCCAUUUGGAGGAAACUGUUACUAAAUUUUUUUUUUUUGGUAUAGGGGAUUGAACUUGGGACCUUGCACUUGCAAAGCAGGUGCCGGAACCACUGAGCUAAUUCCCCAGCCCUUGGAGGAAACUGUUUUUACAAGCAUGGGAACCCUGAUGACUUAAAGAGGAGCCACAGAGACAGAAAGUGGGAACAUCAAGCAGAUACUGGGUCCAACAGAGGAACCACUUCUGGGAGCUCACUGAGGAAAGAGAGAACAGAAGCCCCUUUGACAAUGAUGAAGAAGAGGCUGUCACCUUUGAGCUGGAUAAGAUGUUGCUUAUGCUUUUGGCUGCAAGUGGGGGCAAUGAACUGACUGACACUGACAACGAGUGGGACUUGUUUCACGAUAAGUUGGAAGACUUUUGUGACUUGGACCUCUACCGGCUUUGCAUGGCCUGGGAUCGGCCUACCGAGCCUCAAACAGUAGAUGUCCCCUGUGCCGUAUGGCAGUGAGUUGCUCUCCUACUCAGGCCUCAACUCCAGGUGCUGUCGUGACCACUUACCGGGUCCUACCCCACCCCACUUCCCCAAGACUGUGUCAUUUUCUUGGUUGCAAAAAGUUACAAAAACAAAUCUUCAAGUUAGAAAAAAAAAAGAACCAGUAUAGCUGAACAUGGUGGCACACACUUGUAGCAAGAUCCUGUCACAAAGUAAAAUGGGCUGGGGAAGUAGGUCAGUGAUAGAAAGUCUCCUGGGUCCCAUCCCCAGAAAUGGGGGGAAAACAUCAGAGUGGUACAUUGGCUUCUACUGAAGACAUUGAAUAUUAGAUCACUAUGAAGUUUUGAAUUUAAAACUUAUGGGGGAACAUGAUGUUUAUAUUUAUCCUAAAUAACUAUGUAAAGGUAGUAUAGAGACAUGCAAGUGCUCUGAUGUUUUACUUCCCCAGCACUCAGUCCUAGGACACUCCUGGAGGAUACAUUUUAGCAAAAUGAGGAUGCGUGAUAUGAAAGGAAAAGCUCUGCACCAUGGAAACUGGAGAAACCCAGAGGAGCAAUGAGGACAGGCCCAGCAAGACCCAUGGCAUAGGGUUGUACAAGAAAGAAAACAGAGUAAUGGAAGUCACCAUAAUACCUAAAAUUGAUGAACUAUGACAUAGUAGCAUGUGCAUACUAUUUAGAAAAGUGGAAGAAAACAAGAAAAAAACAUUUCAGAGAGUUGAAAUUGGUUGGUCCUGGAGGAUGGGUAAAGGACAGUUGUGUUUUGUCAUGAAUCUGUGGCCUUUUUGUUUUUAUCUAUGUACAUUACUUGAUAAAAAUGGGAACACUUAUGUACUGCUGAUCCAAAUGUAAGAUGGUGCAGCCAUUAACCUUAGAAAGUUAAACACAGUUACACUAUGUCAGGGUUUGGAGGUGCUAUGUUGCUAUGUCCUCCAGGGCUCAGGGGCUUGGUCUCUACUGCAGCAAUAUUCAGAGAGGGUACUUUUUGGAACCAGAUGGAUCAUGAGGACUCUAACUUCAUCAAUGGAUAAAUCCAUUAAUGAAUUCAUAGCUCAAUGAGCUUAUUAGGAAGUGGAGUCUAGUUGGAAGAAGCAAGUCACUGGGGGUAUGGCUUUGAAGGGUGUAUUUUGUUCCCAGCCCCUUCCUCUCCAGCUCACUCUGCUUACUGACUGCCUUGAUGUGAGCAGCUUUAUUCUGCCAUGCCCUUGUGCCAUUCCUUGUGCUACGGAAUACAGAAUACAGCAAUGGAAGCAGAUACCAUAGACUGACACUUCCGAAACUGUGAGUCAAAAUUAACAUUCUUCCUUUAAGCUGAUUUUCUCAGGUAUUAUAUAACAGUGACAAGAAAGUUAAUACAGCAUACAACCCUGCAAUUUCAUUCCUAGCUAUAUAGCCAAGACAGGUGUUUGCAGGAAUAGUUCUGUAGCAUUCAUAAUAACCAAAAAUGCAAACAAUACAAAUGUUCAUCAGUUGAUGAACAGAGAAAUAAAAUGUGGUAUGUACAUCCAUACAAUGGAAGACUAUUCUGUAAAAAGGAAGGAAAUACUGAUACAUAUUACAACAUGGUGAAACACAAAAGGCCGCAUAUUAUAUAAUUCCAUUAAUGUCAAGUGUUCAGAAUAGGCAACUCUAUAUACACAAAGUUAAUUGAGUAGAUUAGAGAUGUAGCUCAGUGACAGAGUGUGUGCUUAGAAUGGACAAGGGCCUGGAUCUGAGCACUGCUAAAAAGAGUUUAUUGGUUAGCUAAGGGUAGGGGGAGGAAGAGAUGAGGAGUAACUGCUAAGGAGUAUGGGAGUUCUUUUUUGGGGUAAUGAAAGUGUUCUUAGGGCCAGGGAUUUAGCUCAGUGUUUCCAUCACCUGCCUUGUAAGCACAAGGUUCCGAGUUUGAUCCCCAGUACCCCCAAAAAAAGUGUUCAUGUGAUGUUUGCACAACAUUGUGAAUAUAUUUUAAAACUACUAAACUGCACACUUUAAAAAAGGCCAACUGGUGAAUUUCAUGUCAAAUUUUAUCUCAAUUAAAGAUAAAUUUAAUUAUAAC
ensembl:lncRNA